UGGGGAAUCUUCCGCAAUGGGCGAAAGCCUGACGGAGCAACGCCGCGUGAGUGAUGACGGCCUUCGGGUUGUAAAGCUCUGUUAUAUGGGACGAACGGGCAUGGGGCGAAUACCCUCAUGCAGUGACGGUACCGUAAGAGAAAGCCACGGCUAACUACGUGCCAGCAGCCGCGGUAAUACGUAGGUGGCGAGCGUUGUCCGGAAUUACUGGGCGUAAAGAGUGCGUAGGCGGAUAUUUAAGUGAGAUGUGAAAUACCCGGGCUUAACCCGGGCACUGCAUUUCAAACUGGAUAUCUAGAGUGCGGGAGAGGAGAAUGGAAUUCCUAGUGUAGCGGUGAAAUGCGUAGAGAUUAGGAAGAACACCAGUGGCGAAGGCGAUUCUCUGGACCGUAACUGACGCUGAGGCACGAAAGCGUGGGUAGCAAACAGGAUUAGAUACCCUGGUAGUCCACGCCGUAAACGAUGAGUACUAGGUGUAGGAGGUAUCGACCCCUUCUGUGCCGCAGUAAACACAAUAAGUACUCCGCCUGGGAAGUACGAUCGCAAGAUUA
rnacentral:rRNA from 1 species